rnacentral:rRNA from 1 species
UACGUAGGGUGCAAGCGUUAAUCGGAAUUACUGGGCGUAAAGCGUGCGCAGGCGGUUUUGUAAGACCGAUGUGAAAUCCCCGGGCUUAACCUGGGAACUGCAUUGGUGACUGCAAGGCUUGAGUGUGUCAGAGGGAGGUGGAAUUCCGCGUGUAGCAGUGAAAUGCGUAGAUAUGCGGAGGAACACCGAUGGCGAAGGCAGCCCUCCUGGGAUAACACUGACGCUCAUGCACGAAAGCGUGGGGAGCAAACGAGG